UAGGGAAUCUUCCGCAAUGGACGCAAGUCUGACGGAGCAACGCCGCGUGAACGAUGAAGGCCUUCGGGUCGUAAAGUUCUGUUGUUAGGGAAGAACAAGUAUCGGAGUAACUGCCGGUACCUUGACGGUACCUAACCAGAAAGCCACGGCUAACUACGUGCCAGCAGCCGCGGUAAUACGUAGGUGGCAAGCGUUGUCCGGAAUUAUUGGGCGUAAAGCGCGCGCAGGCGGUCCUUUAAGCCUGAUGUGAAAGCCCACGGCUCAACCGUGGAGGGUCAUUGGAAACUGGGGGACUUGAGUGCAGAAGAGGAAAGCGGAAUUCCACGUGUAGCGGUGAAAUGCGUAGAGAUGUGGAGGAACACCAGUGGCGAAGGCGGCUUUCUGGUCUGUAACUGACGCUGAGGCGCGAAAGCGUGGGGAGCAAACA
rnacentral:rRNA from 1 species